UGGGUUUGAACUGCACAGGAAAGCCUCCGAAGAGGGGACCUCAUCUCUGAGGCUUUCCUGUGCAGUUCAAACCCAGGUAAGGUUCUGCGCGUUGCUUCGAAUUAAACCACAUGCUCCACCGCUUGUGCGGGCCCCCGUCAAUUCCUUUGAGUUUCAGUCUUGCGACCGUACUCCCCAGGCGGAGUGCUUAAUGUGUUGACUUCGGCACAGCAGGGGUCGAUACCCGCUACACCAAGCACUCAUCGUUUACGGCGUGGACUAC
rnacentral:misc_RNA from 1 species